GUCAGUGUGUCCGAGUGGUUAAGGAGUGAGACUUGAAUUAAAAUCUCGAUAUCUCAUGCUUUCGAGCGCGCAGGUUCGAACCCUGUCGCUGACG
rfam:Pyronema omphalodes CBS 100304, CBS100304, WGS project CATG01000000 data, contig: Pcon_v1_contig1768